GGGGAGGAGCAGCGUGAGGUAAUACAGUAGGGGGAGGAGCAGCGUGAGGUAAUACAGUAGGGGGAGGAGCAGCGUGAGGUAGUAGAGUAGGGGGGGGAGAGUGCUUCUAAAAUGUAAUGAUUUAUGCGUUCUCCACACUCUCAUCCUCACAAGAUCGUAUUGAAGAGCACAUCCUCGGAGAAUGAGAGUGUGGAGAGAGAGAGAGACAGGGGUCAGGUCUGUGUGGGUGGUGAUGGUGUAGUAGAGGUAGUGAUGGGGUCAGGUCUGUGUGGGUGGUGAUGGUGUAGUAGAGGUAGUGAUGGGGUCAGGUCUGUGUGGGUGGUGAUGGUGUAGUAGAGGUAGUGAUGGGGUCAGGUCUGUGUGGGUGGUGAUGGUGUAGUAGAGGUAGUGAUCGGGUCAGGUCUGUGUGGGUGGUGAUGGUGUAGUAGAGGUAGUGAUGGGGUCAGGUCUGUGUGGGUGGUGAUGGUGUAGUAGAGGUAGUGAUGGGGUCAGGUCUGUGUGGGUGGUGAUGGUGUAGUAGAGGUAGUGAUCGGGUCAGGUCUGUGUGGGUGGUGAUGGUGUAGUAGAGGUAGUGAUGGGGUCAGGUCUGUGGGUGGUGAUGGUGUAGUAGAGGUAGUGAUGGGGUCAGGUCUGUGUGGGUGGUGAUGGUGUAGUAGAGGUAGUGAUGGGGUCAGGUCUGUGUGGGUGGUGAUGGUGUAGUAGAGGUAGUGAUGGGGUCAGGUCUGUGUGGGUGGUGAUGGUGUAGUAGAGGUAGUGAUGGGGUCAGGUCUGUGUGGGUGGUGACGGUGUAGUAGAGGUAGUGAUGGGGUCAGGUCUGUUAUUAUGAAGGUAGUGACAUAUUCCAAUAUAGAAAAAGUCAUUCUGUUGAUCUUAGAUGGACCAAUUGUUUAAUCAACACUAACUGUUUUAUCAAUAACGGAUAAGAUCCUAAAGUUAACAUCAGUAUUUCACAGUGUUAUUGUUGGACUGGUGUGUGUGUGACAGGUAUGACGUAAGAGGAAGAACAAUACGAGUGAACAACUCUUUAAUGUUUAAAACUCCCAGCGAUGAAGACCGACACACACACACACACACACACACACACACACACACACACACACACACACAGACACAGAGUAUAAUUGCUGGAUAAGGGGUUGAAAUGUCUAUCAUAGCUAGAGGUGGGGAGGAGGGGGUGUUGAGGCCUCUGGAAAGGCCAGGGCAGACAGGAGAUCACAUGGAAGUGGUUUGAUCAUACAUAAGAUACGGUUAUACAGUUUAGAAGAGGAAGUUAGAGGGGGAGGAAUGUAGGUGAGGGAGGAAGAGAGAGCGCUGGGGAGAGAGAGAGGGGGGACGAGAGAGAGGGCUGAGGAGAGAGAGGGAGAAAGAG
rnacentral:lncRNA from 1 species